rnacentral:rRNA from 1 species
GACAGAGGAUGCAAGCGUUAUCCGGAAUGAUUGGGCGUAAAGCGUCUGUAGGUGGCUUUUUAAGUUUGCCGUCAAAUCCCAGGGCUCAACCGUACGGACUAUUACUCGAACUGCUUGUCUCGAGAAUGGUAGAGGUAACUGGAAUUUCUAGUGUAGGAGUGAAAUCCGUAGAUAUUAGAAGGAACACCAAUGGCGUAGGCAGGUUACUGGACCAUUUCUGACACUGAGGCACGAAAGCGUGGGGAGCGAACCGG